UUGGCUCAAAAUUUUUUUUCCUCAUUUUUUUCCCUCAAAAUUUUUUUUCCUCAAAUAUUUUUUUUUCCUCAAAAUAUUUUUCCUCAAAAAGUUUUUCUUCUAAUUUUUUUUUCAUUUCCUUAUUCGUUUUCUUUUUCCUUUUUCGAUUAUCAUCCUUAUUCGAUUUCCAUUUCCUUAGUCGAUUUUCACUUCCUUAUUUGAUUUUCUUUUCCCUAUUCGGUUUCUUCUUCCUUUUUCAAUAUUCAUUUCCUUUUUCGGUUUCUAUUUCCUUAUUCGGUUUCUAUUUCCUUAUUGGAUUUUCAUUUCCUUAUUCGAUUUCCAUUUCCUUAUUCAAUUUUCAUUUCCUUAUUCGGUUUCUUUUUUCCUUAUUUCGGUUUCUUUUCC
rnacentral:lncRNA from 1 species